UACGUAGGUGGCAAGCGUUGUCCGGAUUUACUGGGCGUAAAGAGCGCGCAGGCGGUCGUUCAAGUCGCGUGUGAAAGCCCCCGGCUCAACUGGGGAGGGUCACGCGAUACUGAUCGACUCGAAGGCAGGAGAGGGAAGUGGAAUUCCCGGUGUAGUGGUGAAAUGCGUAGAGAUCGGGAGGAACACCAGUGGCGAAGGCGGCUACCUGGACCAGCACUGACACUGAGGCACGAAAGCGUGGGGAGCGAACGAGGAUUGAGAUACCCCGUACGU
rnacentral:rRNA from 1 species